AUUGAACGCUGGCGGCAGGCUUAACACAUGCAAGUCGAGCGAGCGGCGGACGGGUGAGUAAUGUCUGGGAAACUGCCUGAUGGAGGGGGAUAACUACUGGAAACGGUAGCUAAUACCGCAUACCAUACGUGGUGCCAGGAUGGGAUUAGCUAGUAGGUGGGGUAAGGGCGAACCUAGGCGACGAUCCCUAGCGGGUCUGAGAGGAUGACACGCCACACUGGAACGGAGACACGGUCCAGACUCCUACGGGAGGCAGCAGUGGUGAAUAUUGCACAAUGGGCGCAAGCCUGAUGCAGCCAUGCCGCGUGUGUGAAGAAGGCCUUCGGGUUGUAAAGCACUUUCAGCGAGGAGGCGUUACUCGCAGAAGAAGCACCGGCUAACUCCGUGCCAGCAGCCGCGGUAAUAC
rnacentral:rRNA from 1 species